GACGAACGCUGGCGGCGUGCUUAACACAUGCAAGUCGAACGGAAAGGCCCUGCUUUUGUUGUGGUCUCGAGUGGCGAACGGGUGAGUAACACGUGAGUAACCUGCCCUUGACUUUGGGAUAACUUCAGGAAACUGGGGCUAAUACCGGAUAGGAGCUCCCGCUGCAUGGUGGGGGUUGGAACGUUUCGGCGGUUGGGGAUGGAUUCGCGGCUUAUCAGCUUGUUGGUGGGGUAGUGGCUUACCAAGGCUUUGACGGGUAGCCGGCCUGAGAGGGUGACCGGCCACAUUGGGACUGAGAUACGGCCCAGACUCCUACGGGAGGCAGCAGUGGGGAAUAUUGCACAAUGGGCGGAAGCCUGAUGCAGCAACGCCGCGUGCGGGAUGACGGCCUUCGGGUUGUAAACCGCUUUCGCCUGUGACGAAGCGUGAGUGACGGUAAUGGGUAAAGAAGCACCGGCUAACUACGUG
rnacentral:rRNA from 1 species